rnacentral:rRNA from 1 species
UACGUAGGGUGCGAGCGUUGUCCGGAAUUACUGGGCGUAAAGAGCUCGUAGGUGGUUUGUCGCGUUGUUCGUGAAAACUCACAGCUUAACUGUGGGCGUGCGGGCGAUACGGGCAGACUGGAGUACUGCAGGGGAGACUGGGAAUUCCUGGUGUAGCGGUGGAAUGCGCAGAUAUCAGGAGGAACACCGGUGGCGAAGGCGGGUCUCUGGGCAACUACUGACGCUGAGGAGCGAAAGCGUGGGGAGCGAACAGG